rnacentral:rRNA from 1 species
GACGAACGCUGGCGGCGUGCUUAACACAUGCAAGUCAUGGGGGCCCGCAAGGGCAACCGGCGAACGGGUGCGUAACACGUGAGCAACCUACCGAUUUGUGGGGGAUAGCCGGCCUAACGGCCGGGUAAUACCGCAUACGCUUGUAAGGCCUCCUGGUCUAACAAGGAAAUCUUCGGAGCAGAUCGAGGGGCUCGCGGCCUAUCAGCUAGUUGGCGAGGUCACGGCUCACCAAGGCGACGACGGGAGCUGGUCUGAGAGGAUGGCCAGCCACAUUGGGACUGAGAAACGGCCCAGACUCCUACGGGAGGGCAGCAGUGGGGAAUCUUGCGCAAUGGACGAAAGUCUGACGCAGCGACGCCGCGUGGGGGA